rnacentral:lncRNA from 1 species
CUCAAAGCUUGCGGUGUGAAACUGUAGCUUACUGACAAUGAGUCUUGCUUAAGGAUCUUUGAAGGAUUUAUAGGGAAAUGUGAUUUGGAAGAAGCAGAGGAUGGCACUGUUGGACAAAAAUUAUGAGGCAAUACAUCCUGCAAAUCUUGAAUUACAGCACUGCACAACCUUACAGAAAUUGUAUCAGAUGUCUUACAAGAUGCAUAAUCAGGAUAAAGGUUUACGGUGUGUUUUCGAUCAUCAAAAUUUUGCUUGAAGUCAGCAGUCAGCAAUGCAGAGGAUCUAUGUUAAAUCUAUUGUGCAAAUAAAAUGACAGGAAACUCUGAAGCUUGUUACCCAACUGUCUUCAGUCCCUUUAAGAUGGUACCCCUACAAAUGUGAACACAGCAUGACUGAGAAGAUCCUGUUUGUGGUCCUUGACUCAACCUUGGAUUAUUUAUUACUCAAGGAAAUUUUGUACAGUAACCCUGGUACCUUAAAACAAUAGUUGUUAUUGUAAUGGAAAGGAGGAACUCUGACAGCCCAGACGCAUGCAAUUUUCAGACUUGAGAAGACAGUCAGGAUACAGAGCAAAAGCUAUUGGUAUAGACUUGUCACCUCAAACCCUCUUGACUGAAUGUUUUCCUGUCUUCUACCUGAGGACUGUCAGAAAAAAUGCCACUGAAGACCUCUGGGAGGUUGCCUGUGGCAGUACGUCUUUGUUCAUGAGGAGAUCCAUCAACAUGUGCAAAUCCACAGUACUUACUCAGCUCCAGACCCCAAAACUUAUUGCCCUGAAGGAGCUGCCUUCAGUAUUUGGAGACUGGGAUUUGAGAGUAUCCAAGGGGUCUUCGUGGGAAGAGAAAACAAUACAGACAGAUGGGGAUGGAGAAAGACUCCCACUUCCUCAGGGGGUUGUUGAACCUCUGUGUUAGAAGCCUUUCCCUUCUUCUCUGCAUAUAUAAAAAAACCUUCUGAUUAUCCAUCUAGGUCCUUUGAGACCAGAAAUAUUUUUCUAAUUCAGGAGCUGAAACAUCAAUGUGAUGUAAGAUGACCCCCAUGGCAGGGGCCACAUUGAUGCAGUUAUGAGCAGACAGACCCCUCAGUGAGUUGUUCACAACAUUGGCAAAAUAUUAGGGCAAACAAACAAAAAGAUAGAAAAAGUUAAUUUGUUAGCAAAAUAGCUAAUAGAGACACCAUGUACCUUUUACAUUUGACUAUAAUGUGUAUUAUAUGAAGAUGAUAAUAAGAUAUGGAUCAUAGUAAAACCAAGUAAGGCCCCAGAUAUGAUGACAUUUCUCCCUAGAUUUUACAAUGUACAAAGCAAUAGAGCCACUUAGUUUAGAGGUGCUGUCAUUGGAAGAUGUUUAAUAUAUAACCAAACUCAGUUUGAAUAGAUAUUAUGAAGAGCUGAUAGUGUAAUGUCAGCAUAGAGAGCUAAGCAUUUCAGUAAAUGUAUGUGGAUGGGUCAACAAGGUAUACUUCAUAAACCUGUUUUCAGCUAUUAACUUCUGCUCAUGGAGAAUUUCCUGCUGUUUAUAUCACUGCCAAAGCUUGCUCCAUAACUGUUAUGAAAGAAAUUUUUGCUAUUGUUAUCAGCACUUCAACAUAGUCACAAUAAUGGCCUUGUGUGCAGGAGAUACUAGUGCAGUAUGUAAAAUACUUUUUUAAAUUAUUAUUUUUAUUGGUGCUUUAUGUUGAAAAUAUAGGAAAAAUAAUUGCACCACUGAAAUUUGUGAUAUACAGUUAUGAUACUUUUAAUUAAAAGGAAAAGAAAAAGACACCAGGUAAUAGGAUAUUAUUUUCUCCCCUUCUAAUGGCAUUUAAAAUGAAAAUUUAAAUGAAAAUUUUAAAACUGAGAACUGAAGCACAAUAUCACUUAAUAGGAAUUGUCUGUCAUAUAUUAAGAAAUAUAUUGGCAAAAAAAUGCAGUACCAUUUUCAGAUUAUUUAUUUAUUUUAUAAUACUUAACACAGCACUAGACAAGAGCCAUAACAGAGAUAUAACAGGGAUUAUGAAAUAAAAGUGGAAAAAAAAAUAGGCUCA